AAGUCGUAACAAGGUCUCCGUAGGUGAACCUGCGGAGGGAUCAUUAACACGUUUUAACAACGUAUUCAACCAAACUAUGGAACUAUGACCUAGAAAUAGGUCAAGUCAAUCUCCCCACAGAGCGAAGGCAUAGAGAUAUGCUUAGCUAUGCGGGCUAUGAUUUUUCUUUAACUUCACCCUUUUCCACCUGGAUUGAUUUCGAUCAACUCCAACCUAAAGUGACCUAGCCUUACUUCUUGACCUAGUCAAUUUGUUGAGGUUGAUAUUUUUUAAUAAGAGCACAACUCUUAGCAACGGAUAUCUUGGUUCUC
rnacentral:misc_RNA from 1 species